UGUGUGUUGACUGUGACUGUAUGUCAUUGUGCAAGCGCUCCAUCACUACCUAUUGGCACCUGAUAAUGCAUGGAAAUUUCUAUAAGGUCAUGGGCAUGUAAUUUUAUGACCUACAUACCUCUGUAGUUGGUAGUAUCAUUGCCCUUUGGACACUCUUCAAUGCAUUGUUGUAUAUUUUCCUGCCACAAGUAUGAUGUUUGUGCUCAGAAUUAUGUAUAUGUAGAAUCCAGGGUGGAUGGAGGUUUUCAUGAUGGCUAAUUUGAUUUGUUAUGGUUCUGAUGUUGGGCUUCUUGUGUUUGAACUGAAGCCGUGGAUCACUCAUCAACCUGGUCUGUGUUUGUAUGCUGAAUUAUUUCCAGAUAGGACAGAAGUGCAAUGUCUACAUCCAUGGAAGAAGGUUUUUUAACACUGAACUCAUCAAAGCUCCUUGGACUCAAGAGGAAGAUGACAAAAUUAUUGACCUUGUAAACAAGUAUGGACCAACAAACUGGUCUCAUUGCAAGUUCAACUACCAGAACUUCCUGCUGCUGAUCCUGUGAUGUUUCUGAACAUGCUCCUGAACAUGUUCAGUUUAUCCCCCUAGGACAGAAUAAAUCCACCUGUGAUCUAUCACGCUUCUUUCUUCCACUUGCUAUGCAGCCACUGCCAUGACAUAGCAGGUUACUCGGCAUGCUCGGCGUGUUUACUUCGGUGGACUUCCUCCGAUCGCUAAUGAACAGACGGUUGCUCUAUUCUUCAAUCAAGUUGUGGCUGCUAUCAGGGGAAACACAUUUGGUCUAGGUGGCAUAAUCAUCUGAAUCCAAACAUAUGGAACGAUGCUUGGACUACUGAGGAGGAACAUGCACUGAUUAAUGCCAUCAGGUAUAUGGGAAUAAAUGAGCAGAAAUAGCAAACAACUUACAUCAUGGGUCUUGCUUGUAGUAUUAGCUUUCUGUUUGUGCCCUUCCUAUCUCUUGUGUGUGUGACUGACUGUGUGUGUGUGUACUGUGAUUGUAUGUGUGACUGACUCUGUGUGACUGUUUGUG